GAUCUAUUAGCUUAGUUGGUUAUAGUAUUGUAUUAAUAAUGCAAAAUUCAUAGGUUCAAUUCUUACUUAGGCCA
rnacentral:tRNA from 1 species